GAAACCAGCCCAGCCCCAGAGUGAGUGUUGACAAGGACACUGUGAUGCUCUGCCUGGCCAUGAGGAAGCGCAUAGUGGGUUGAUGCAGACUGGCUGAAUGAGGGAGCCCACCUGAGGAGGAACAAGCUGGACUGGGACUAUAAAGACACGAGAUUGGAAGCAAAAGGACUGUCAUCCCUCCCAGGGCCCCGCCCUUCCUAAAGCCGGCCCUGCUCCUGAUUCGCAACCCCAUGGACCAGGCGGCAGCUAGUCCUGAGCAGGAGCCCAGAUGGUUACGUUGUGCGGCAGAAACUGCAACUGGUUGCAAAACGGGAGGGUUUCGCAAUGUGUCGUUACACCGGCAGGAGAUCGGCGCUGCCGGCAGCCUCGGGAGCUGCGGGGCAGGGCCCGGCCAACCUGCCGCCGGAGGCGCUGAGGGAGCCUGGGAGACUCUCGGAUCAGGCCCGUGGUCCGGAAGGGGAGCCCGGCUGGGCUCCGAGAAGAUGGUUUCCCCCAGCAGGGUGAUCGCACCAGCUGCUGGGUUUAAUCCGGUUCAGUCUCAGCGGGCUGGUUUCUCAGCCCCAGGAGUCAGCGGUGAAGAGAUCUGCAGGCCCCACACAGAGCUCAGGAAAGCAGCCGGGAUCCCCUGACAUCCCCAGGCAGGUGUCCCAGCCCAGAGGAAGCGCAGAGGCCUUGGAGGGCUGUCCGAGGCAGCGCCCCAGAGGCAGCCCUGUUGAACGAGGUGCGCGCUCAGCAAGGGGCGUGACACCAACGCUUGGGAUUUCGAUCACACGCAUCCAGUGCCCAGGUGGCUGAGAAGAAAAUCAUGAAAACGUGACCCCAGACGUUUGAAAGCCCAGCAGACUGCGAACGAGACCACAACAGGCAUUAGAACGGCUGUGCCUCAUGGGGAUCCAGGCGAGCGUUAGUGUCCAAACUGGAGUCCCUUAAGCAAGCUCGACCCAGAAAUACACCUCACAGCAGCGUGUUAUGAGCCCUGGGGCUCAGACGUGGCUCUGAUCCUGCCCAGCCUGGUCUCCCCUGCCGGGGAUUGAUCUCAGCCAGCGUCCGGCCCCCACGGCCCCUUUGGGCGGUGACGCUAUCUGGGGUAAUGACGGUGACGCCAGCUGGCUAGAGAACGGGAAGUGGGCACAGGCUGGGUUGCAGGCUGGAGGGUUUGCAGACAGUGGCUCCGGGUGUCGAGCUGUGCCCAGGCCGGGUGGGGAGCUGAGAACAGGCCCGCUCGGUGCAUGGCACAGGCCCACAAGCACUGGCAGCACAGGGGCGGGGGGCAGGAACACCCACGAGAUGACAGGGGCAGGUCACACGUCUCCGUGCCAGUGUGUCAGGCUGUGUGGUCUCCCUGGGGCAGGGUGUUCUCACGCCGCUCAGGCCACCACACCUCCCCCAGCCUCCCGUGCCGCAGGCGGCCUGGAGAGCCCCUUCCCCCCGCAGCAGGCCCACAUCUGGGGGAGGGGCUCUGCCCUGCCACCCCCUGCCUCCAGCUGGUCCAGCCCCACCCCACGGACCCUCCAGCCUUACCCGGGCACAGCCCCACAGGGCCGACUUUUCCUGCUGUCU